UCCCGCCGUUCAAAAAAAAAGUGAAAGGAACAGAGCCUCGUCUUUUCAUCUCACCGCCAAACUGCCACUCGAUCCUUCCUCCUCCCUACGACCGUCGCACCACCAUCUCUUCUCCUCUAGACUAUCACUAAACCGUCAUCUCUCCUCAUCCCGACGACCACUGGAGCACCGCCUCCUCCCUCUUUUUAACCAAACAGAAAGGAUUUCAUUUUUUUUUGGAUAUCAGUUCGGGAAUUUGGGAUGUAUGAUCGAUUAUUGGAAUUCGCUCGAAUUUGUGAGGCAAAAAGGAUAUAUGUACCGCAUAUCAUAUCAGAUGUAUGGCAGAUCGGAUCGGAGAUAGGGUUGUUGUUUCAUUGUCACUCGAUCUUUGUUUUUAUUCGGAUCAGACGACAAAAGGAGGAAAAUCAAGCCAUGCUACGGGGAAAGUUGAUACAAAAAUUUUAGGUUGGAUGUAAAGAAAACUGCAGCCAAGGGGAAGCUGCUAAGGAUCCCAAUAAACCUAAGGGACCUGCUAGCACUUUCUUUGUAUUCAUGGAGGACUUUAGAAAGCAGUUCAAAGAAGAUAACUCUGAACACAACUCUGUUGUUGCUGUUGGUAAGCUGGUGUAGCAAAAUGGAAGUCAAUGGCAGGUCCUGACACAACACCUUUUAUAGCUAAAGCUGACAAAAGGAAGAAGAAAUAUGAUAAGAGCUUGGAAUUCUACAACAAAAAACUUGUGAAAUCUUUGUCAGAAGUCUUCUUUUAAUCAUUAAUAUAUCGUAGUUUUGUUUGAUUAACUUUGAGUUUGCUGCAUGAACAUAGGUUGCUGGUGAUAAUGAUGAUGAUGAUUCAGACAAAUCUAGUACCAUAUAGUCCCUUCCCCAACAUUAACAACAGAUUGUACUAUGUUCUGAUUUGAAGUUUUAUGUAAGGGAUAAAAGGUUCACCAUAAUAAGAGGGAAUCCUGAAACUUGGACAAUAUCGAGAUAUGAUAAAAUAAAGAGCGUGACCUUGCAAGUAGAUGAAACAGACAUCAUUAUACCAUUUUACCAUUUUAGGGCAUUCUUUUCCCUCUCAAAUGUACUUAGUAAAUUUCAACCAAUAAUGGUUGUCACAAGGCUCCUAUGAAUCUUUUUGAAGUUCAUUGGGAAGGAACCAAUGCCUAAAAGGAUUUGAGGCUUGAUGUGUUUAGAGAACUGGUCUUGGAUUUGCUGUUGAUGGGAGUUUUGUGCAUGUUGAAUAAGUUCUAGCAAUUUGCCUUUGUUGGCUUCUUUAGUGCUACCUUUCAAUUUAUAUUUUGGCUUCCUCAUUAAUGCAAAUGGAUGCCUCACUAACAAUAUGAUGGGGCUGGAGGUGAAGAAGAUGUUGUCACUGAAAUCAUUACGAUUCUUACACCAAGGGGUCAGUCGAUACAAUGUUGAACUUUACCUUUCCUUUUUAAGGCUUGAAGGGCAAGCCACUGAUUUCAAAAUUCAAUACAACAGCCUAGUCGAUGUUUUUGUCUUGCCUAAGUUUAACCAACCUCACACGUUUGUGGUUGUCACUCUGGACCCUCCUAUCUGUAAAGGUCAAACAAUGUACCCAUAUAUUGUAAUGCAGUUUGAAACUGAUUAUAUGGUCGAGAGCUCUUUGAUGAUGAAUGAAGACUUGUAUUCUACAAAAUACAAAGACAUAUUAGAAUCAUCAUAUAAGGAACUUAUUCAUGAAGUGUUCACAAUGAUCUUGCGUGCAUUAUCUGGUAGAAAGUAUAAUGCCCUAAUAAGAAAAAAAAUCCAAGUAUAGUUCUAUAUUUAGGUAGAUCUUUGAAAGAUAUUAUAUAGUAACAUGCCUUAAUAAGAUAAAAAGUUAAAAGCACAAUGUUGCAAUGAAAAGAAAUGAAAGUAUGUUGCUAUUUUUAGCAUUUAGCCCUCAGAAAUAUACUGCAAUUUUAACUAUUUUUUGGUGGAAGAAAAUUUUCCUAGAAAGAAAAACUUGAAGCAUCUAAAGAGAUGAUGGGGAUGAAGCAGAAAGUGGAGCAUGUGGCACAUCUCUCUCUCUCUCUCAUUAUUAUUAUUUUAGUAAGACUGGAAUGCAAAGCCAGAAUGGGCAUGAAUGGUGGAAAGGAAGGAAUGGAAUGCAAAGCCAGAAUAGGCAUGAAUGGUAGAAUGGGUAGGCAUGUAUGGUGGAAAGGAAGGAAUGGGGAUGUGAGACAUCAAGUACGGUUGUUUAUUGGUGUAUUAGUUUAUUGGUGUAUUAGAUGUGCAUAUGUGGCGUAUUAGAUGAUAUGUUACACAUCAAGUACGGUUGUGUAUUGGUGUAUUGGUGUAUUAGAUGUGUAUAUAUGGCGUAUUGGAUGAUUGUAUGUGAUGGUCCUAGAAAGUAGAUAGGAUACAUAUAGAGUACGGUUUAAUAGCCGUACUCUAUUAGGCAUGUAAUCUAAUACACCCCUCUACUAAUACGCCCUCUAUGUACGUACUAUAUUCAUAAUUUCAACCGUAUUACAUUAACCUUUUUCUA